AUUGAACGCUGGCGGCAGGCCUAACACAUGCAAGUCGAGCGGGGUUUUCGGACCUAGCGGCGGACGGGUGAGUAAUGCGUAGGAAGCUGCCCGAUAGAGGGGGAUACCAGUUGGAAACGACUGUUAAUACCGCAUAAUGUCUACGGACCAAAGUGUGGGACCUUCGGGCCACAUGCUAUCGGAUGCGCCUACGUGGGCGUUAGCUAGUUGGUGAGGUAAUGGCUCACCAAGGCGACGAUCUCUAGCUGGUUUGAGAGGAUGAUUAGCCACACUGGAACUGAGACACAGGCCAGACUCCUACGGGAGGCAGCAGUGGGGAAUAUUGGACAAUGGGCGCAAGCCUGAUCCAGCCAUGCAGCGUGUGUGAAGAAGGCCUUCGGGUUGUAAAGCACUUUCAGCGAGGAGGAAGGGGUGUGUUUUAAUAGUACACACCUUUGACGUUACUCGCAGAAGAAGCACCGGCUAACUCUGUGCCAGCCGCCGCCGUAAAAC
rnacentral:rRNA from 1 species